GUCGCCCCUCUCCCUGGCAUCUUCCCACCGCCGCCCCUCUCAUCUCCCUCACGCCCUCUCUCUGGUGCUGCAGCUCGCCCCCCUCUGCUCACCAUCUCCUCCUGGUUCCCAUGGCGCCCUCCCCUUCUUGGUGGCCGACGCCCCUCCCUCCAUGGAGCUCGCCUCUGCCAUGACCGCCCUCUGCCCCCUCCCUUGCCGUUCUUAUGGCAGCCCCUCUCCAUGCCAAGCUCGCCCUCCUUCUGUGCCUAGCCCUAGCUCGCCCCAGCCCCUCUCCCUGGCUGCCCUUGCUCUGUUUUCCCCCAGCCCUAGUCGAGCUCGCCCCUGCCCUAAGUUCUCAAGGCAGCCCCUCUGUGUUUUCCAUGGCCGGCACCCUCCCCAUCUUUUGUAGAUUGGAAGAAAGGAUUCCUGUUUGUGUGAGAAGAAGCAAAUCCCAGCAUAACGCAUGCUAGGUGUUCGACGAAAUGUUCGAAUUGGGAUUGUCGUUGAUAUUGUGGAUCUGAGUCGUGCUUUGUAUUGGUGUGUCGUGGUGAAUAUCUCUAGAUCCGCGACUAUGUCUGUGUGUUUUGUUCUAUGGUGACGUUAGGAAAGUAUCUUUCCUCUCUUUCCCUUGUCUUUGUGAUGCUUUGUUGUAUGCCAUAUGUUUGGUGAAUGAAUAUGUAUAGAAGGAUUAAAUUGUUUAGGCAUAUGCAUAGCAUGAAUAAAAUGAGUUCUUCUUGUGUGAUGAUAUACUGUAUGGAAUGUGCUUGAUUGGAUAUAUGUGUAUGCAAAGUAUGAUUAAUUAGUUCUUUGUUUGCAUGAAGUGAGAGUAGAUUUAAAAAUACUAGGUUAUAUGAAGUGAAUGGAUUCAUGGUUAUAAUGUAUAAGUAAUCUAUAUAUGUGAUUAGGAAGUGUCAAGCAUGAAAGUUGUAGAAGUAAAUAUGAACCCAAUUGGAAUGUUUGCUGUUUGGACUGCGUGUACAGUUUUGAUUGUGCAACUAAUCUAGUGAAGCAAAUCAUAUUUCCUGUGAAAAUAUUAUAUAUAAAAGUUGCAGGUAACCUCCUUAUCUUGCUCAUGCUAAAAUUUCAUUACCAUUGGCCCAAUAAUCUGAAAGUUUUGCUUCUCCCAAGUUCAGUAUCAGAAUCUGUCCAGAUUCUGUACAGAUUUCGAAAAUGGCCUUGUUUGACCAAGUUAAACUUAGAAUCAGUUCUUAUAAAUUAUAAAGAAGUUGUAGUACUUUUCUUAAGCUUUCCAACAAGUUUUGGAUCACCCUUUUUGGUGGUCUAGAAGUCAAGUUAUGGUUGAUUGAAAUGUGAUGACUGAAUCUGUCCAAAUCUGGACAGCAAUGUUUGUUUGUAUUGACUGACUUUGAUAUAUAUUGAAUCAACCUAAGAUGUUUAUAAAUGAGUUGUAGACAAUUUUAUAAGCUUUCUAGAAAUUCUUGGAUCAUCUGUUUUGGAUGUCUAAAUCUCCAGUUAUGGAGUUUUGAAGUGAGUAGUCGAAUUCCGUCCAAAUCUGGACAGCAUUAUCAUUUAAUACUGAUUGACCUUUUUAAGUGUCUAAUCUCAUGGUGAUGAUAAUACCAAAGUUGUAUAGGAUUUCUUAGACUUUCCAGAAAGUCUUAGUUCACUAUUUUUGGAUGAAUAUUUUGUGAGUUGUGAACAAAACAAUUGACUACUGUGUGCUGUCCAGAAAAUCUGCAAUUGAGCACUUGAUUUUGUUCUUGUUUGGCUAAGUAGGAAUAAUUAGUUUUUGAUUCUUGAGUGAUGAAGACUUGUGGCAUUUGAAAUGUUUCUCCAAAUGUCUUGUUGCAUAUGGUUGAGUUUUUUCUUUCUUAAUGUGUGCUCUAAACCUAUUAGGAAUGCGAUAAGUAAUAAUGUGCACUAGCUCUGACUUUCUGUAGGUUGGAAUGGCUGCUACACUAGCUUCAGUUUGUUCAGUCCCAUUGACUUCAGUACUGCUUCUCUUUGAGCUGACAAAGGAUUACAGGAUUUUGCUUCCUCUCAUGUGAACAAGGGAGAAUAUUGUGAACUGAAGGUCAUGUAUCAGCGAAAAGCAGGCUUUCCUCUUGUAGCAAUUGUGCACUGAAAAACUACAGUACCCUUAUGACACCACAACAGUAAGCAAGACUACAAGACAUCUAUGCGAAAUGCAGCUAGCCAGCUACACUGAUGUAGAGAUCAUUCAGGCAGUUUAACCUCUAUACUGUAUCAUUUUAAUUUAACCAGCUAUUUCACUACUGCCUUUUAUAGUGUUUAGGUUAUAACCAAUGACCUCUGUUAGAGUUUAUAAUUUAAACUCAUUGAUUGAAAAACAUUUAGUUGUGAUGUCACUAAAAGGUGAAAUAAAUUUCUUAUAGUGUGCAUUAUUAUCCCUUUUUUCAUUUCUAAGUAAAAUUCUUAACAACUUCUGUAUAAUAAUGAUUGGAUUUAUGACUGUUGUUUGCACUAACAUCUGGUCUAAUUUCAUUAUUCUUGAACUUCUUUUGUGCCCAUGCUUCAUUACACAUGUAGGUCGCUCGAAUGCAACUGUCUGGCCUAGCAUCCAAUCGACCUCAACCACUCUUCACCCCACGAGUGUGUGGAGCUGAUGAACUUGUCGAUGUGUUCUAAGCAUGAGCAAGCUGGGUUAUGAUGGUGUUGUGGCACUGCUGGUUGCUGAUAUAUCACUUUCAGUUAAGUUACACAUGUGAUUUGUGACUACUAACUAUUUCCCUCUGGUAACUUCACUUUCACUGCCAUGAGAUAUGAAAACAUUCUGAGAAAAUAGUGGGUUUAAAGAAGACUUCACAAGAAACACACGUCCUCCUUCACAAGAAACGCACGGUAGGAAAAGGACAAUGCAUAUUAAAUAAGAUCAAAAUUCAGAUGAAACGUUGAAGCUGUGCAUUUUUAUUGCUAUAGCUUGUUUUGUGAUAAAUGCUAAUGAAUUGAUCAAUCCUUGUUUACCA